rnacentral:sRNA from 12 species
GGUGGGAGGUGUGCCACGCAAGCCUGGGGAGGAGCGCAAAGAUGUCAUGGCUAAAAACGUCAGCAUUUAUAAAAGUCAAGCAGCUGCCCUGGCAGCCAAUGCAUCCAAAGGAGUCAAGCUUGUGGUUGUGGCCAACCCAGCCAACACCAAUGCGUGGG